rnacentral:rRNA from 1 species
UACAGAGGUCUCAAGCGUUGUUCGGAUUCAUUGGGCGUAAAGGGUGUGUAGGUGGCGCCGUAAGUCGGGUGUGAAAUCUCGGGGCUUAACUCCGAAACUGCAUUCGAUACUGCGGUGCUUGAGGACUGGAGAGGAGACUGGAAUUCAUGGUGUAGCAGUGAAAUGCGUAGAGAUCAUGAGGAACACCAAUGGCGAAGGCAGGUCUCUGGACAAUUUCUGACGCUCAUGCACGAAAGCCAGGGGAGCAAACGGG